rnacentral:misc_RNA from 1 species
GAAAUGCGAUACGCAGUGCGAAUUGCAGAACGCGAGUCAUCAGAUCUUUGAACGCAAGUGGCGCCGGUUAGCAGCCGGCAUGUGGGGCUCAGUGUGUUUGGAAAUCAUACAAGCGGAAUGUGGUUGAAGGGGUCAAACUCUUCUCCCAUUAAACGCGAGCGCGCGACUUCGUAUUCAGCCGCCGUCGCACUAUUCCUCCCUCUUCGGAAGUAGUCACUAGCAUCCUAGUGAUCUAACGAAGGGCGGGUUCACGGGAUGUGCUGUACGGGAUUCUAGGCGCGAAGAUUCUGCCGCUUCAUUCUCUAACCGAGAAUUUUGAAAAAACUUUCUCCUCUACACCUGAGUUCCGCAAGAUCACCCGCUGAGUUUAA